rnacentral:rRNA from 1 species
UACGGGAGGCAGCAGUGGGGAAUAUUGCACAAUGGGCGCAAGCCUGAUGCAGCCAUGCCGCGUGUAUGAAGAAGGCCUUCGGGUUGUAAAGUACUUUCAGUCGUGAGGAAGGUGUUAAGGUUAAUAACCUUAGCAAUUGACGUUAGCGACAGAAGAAGCACCGGCUAACUCCGUGCCAGCAGCCGCGGUAAUACGGAGGGUGCGAGCGUUAAUCGGAAUUACUGGGCGUAAAGGGCACGCAGGCGGUUAAUUAAGUUGGAUGUGAAAUCCCCGGGCUUAACCUGGGAAUGGCAUUCAAGACUGGUUAGCUAGAGUCUUGUAGAGGGGGUAGAAUUCCAUGUGUAGCGGUGAAAUGCGUAGAGAUGUGGAGGAAUACCGGUGGCGAAGGCGGCCCCUGGGACAAAGACUGACGCUCAUGUGCGAAAGCGUGGGGAGCAAACAGGGAUUAAUACC